UACGUAGGGGGCUAGCGUUGUCCGGAAUCAUUGGGCGUAAAGAGCGUGUAGGCGGCUCGGUAAGUCCGCUGUGAAAGUCCAGGGCUCAACCCUGGAAUGCCAGUGGAAACUGUCGAGCUAGAGUCCGGAAGAGGCGAGUGGAAUUCCUGGUGUAGCGGUGAAAUGCGCAGACAUCAGGAGGAACACCAAUGGCGAAGGCAGCUCGCUGGGACGGUACUGACGCUGAGACGCGAAAGCGUGGGGAGCAAACAGG
rnacentral:rRNA from 1 species